rnacentral:rRNA from 1 species
GCAAAGUGCCGCACGUGUGCGGUUUGGAGAGUACCCGGAGAAAAAGCAUCGGCUAACUCCGUGCCAGCAGCCGCGGUAAUACGGAGGAUGCGAGCGUUAUCCGGAUUUAUUGGGUUUAAAGGGUGCGUAGGCGGACGCUUAAGUCAGCGGUAAAAUUGCGGGGCUCAACCUCGUCGAGCCGUUGAAACUGGGUGCCUUGAGUGGGCGAGAAGUACGCGGAAUGCGUGGUGUAGCGGUGAAAUGCAUAGAUAUCACGCAGAACUCCGAUUGCGAAGGCAGCGUACCGGCGCCCAACUGACGCUGAAGCACGAAGGCGUGGGUAUCGAACAGGAUUAGAUACCCCGGUAGUCCACGCAGUAAACGAUGAAUGCUAGUUGUCCGGGGCGAUUGAGUUCUGG